CUAUUAUUUUCUUUUGUGUAAUUCUUAUAUGACUUUUUCUUUUAUUUUCUAUACACUUUAUUCAAGUCUAUCAUGCAAGGGAAAUUGAGAACUUGGUAACUAGUAGAAAAGAUUAUCAAAACAUUCAAGGUGCAUCAAAUAACCAAAUAGAUAAAACUUCAAAUCAGCAAUACAAUGAUGUACAAGAUUGUCAAAACAUUCAAGGUGCAUCAAAUAACCAAAUAGAUGAAGAUUCAAAUCAGAAAGACAUUGAGUUACAAGCUUCAAAUCAUAUUGUUGAAAAUAAUUUUAUGGAUGAAGAAUUUGAUCAAG